UAACACGUGGAUAACCUACCUAUAAGACUGGGAUAACUUCGGGAAACCGGAGCUAAUACCGGAUAAUAUUUUGAACCGCAUGGUUCAAAAGUGAAAGACGGUCUUGCUGUCACUUAUAGAUGGAUCCGCGCUGCAUUAGCUAGUUGGUAAGGUAACGGCUUACCAAGGCAACGAUGCAUAGCCGACCUGAGAGGGUGAUCGGCCACACUGGAACUGAGACACGGUCCAGACUCCUACGGGAGGCAGCAGUAGGGAAUCUUCCGCAAUGGGCGAAAGCCUGACGGAGCAACGCCGCGUGAGUGAUGAAGGUCUUCGGAUCGUAAAACUCUGUUAUUAGGGAAGAACAUAUGUGUAAGUAACUGUGCACAUCUUGACGGUACCUAAUCAGAAAGCCACGGCUAACUACGUGCCAGCAGCCGCGGUAAUACGUAGGUGGCAAGCGUUAUCCGGAAUUAUUGGGCGUAAAGCGCGCGUAGGCGGUUUUUUAAGUCUGAUGUGAAAGCCCACGGCUCAACCGUGGAGGGUCAUUGGAAACUGGAAAACUUGAGUGCAGAAGAGGAAAGUGGAAUUCCAUGUGU
rnacentral:rRNA from 1 species